ACGCAAAGAACCUUACCUACUCUUGACAUCCAGAGAACUUUCCAGAGAUGGAUUGGUGCCUUCGGGAACUCUGAGACAGGUGCUGCAUGGCUGUCGUCAGCUCGUGUUGUGAAAUGUUGGGUUAAGUCCCGCAACGAGCGCAACCCUUAUCCUUUGUUGCCAGCGGUCCGGCCGGGAACUCAAAGGAGACUGCCAGUGAUAAACUAGAGGAAGGUGGGGAUGACGUCAAGUCAUCAUGGCCCUUACGAGUAGGGCUACACACGUGCUACAAUGGCGCAUACAAAGAGAAGCGAACUCGCGAGGGCAAGCGGACCUCAUAAAGUGCGUCGUAGUCCGGAUUGGAGUCUGCAACUCGACUCCAUGAAGUCGGAAUCGCUAGUAAUCGUAGAUCAGAAUGCUACGGUGAAUACGUUC
rnacentral:rRNA from 1 species